AUUCAAACAGUAUUCCAAUAAACUUUAAAGCGUUGCGAGUUAUACGAUCUUGACAAAAAAUAUGAAACUGUAUCUAUUACUUCUUAUGGUUGGAUAUAUUUCUGCUACACCACUACCAGAACCAUGCUUCAUAAACUCUGCUGAUAUUACAUUACACACUAGACCAUCAUGUCUUGUAAACUCUGGUCGCAUUAAAUACGUCUGAACCAAAUAAAAAAAGCUUUUUUCGUAAAUUACGACUUCAAAAGGGUCUAAAAAUGCAUUAAUCUUUUUAUACUCUGUACGUACACUAAUAUUUUAUAUAAGGAAAAUAGCUGGAAGUUAAAUAAAAUAAUGUAUUCAGUGGGUAA